UUCAAUGGCCGCGGUAACUCUGACCGUGAUAAAGUAGCAUAAUCACUUGUCACUUAAUUGGUGACUGGAAUGAAUGGCUAAACGAAUCCAACACUGUCAAAAGUAAAAGUCUUAUAAAAUUAAGAUAAUAGUAAAGAUGCUAUUUAAAACUGUAAGACGAGAAGACCCUAUAGAGCUUAACUAUAACUCUUUAAAAUAUUAUUAAAUUUAUUUAAUUUUAUAAAGAGAUAGGUAGUUUAGUUGGGGCGACUACUUUCUUCAAAAAACGAAAGUAAACAAAAUUAAUUGCUUAAUUUACUGUAUAAUUUAUGAAUUUAACAGUUAUAAUAAUAGGUAAUAAUGACCCGUUAUAUAUUAAAAUAAAUUAUAACGAUCAAUAAAUAAAAGCUACCUUAGGGAUAACAGGAUAAUCUU
rnacentral:rRNA from 1 species